rnacentral:tRNA from 1 species
GGCCUCGAACCCGUAAAAAAUUAGUUAACAACUAAUCGCCCAAGCCAGCGAGCAUUAGCCUAGCUUCUCCCGUUUCGCGUAAGACGGGAGAAGC